rnacentral:ncRNA from 1 species
UUAAUGUUUGGUUCUGGCUUACAAACAUAAUAAUAGUGAAUUCAUACACAUGGUUUUUAUUGAAAUAAGUGAGUAAAAUCUAAAAUAAAGUACAAUUAAAAAUUAAAAAUUAUUUUAGACGUAAAGUAUUAUUCAACACAUAAUGCUUAGACACCCACAAACACCAGUACUGGAAUUUAAAAAAAAGUGAAAACUUGAUUUAGAUUAGCUACCAAGCUUGGUUAACUUGGUGCCAGCAUCCGCGGUUACACCAAGAAGUUAAGUUAUGUUAUAUCGGUAUAAAAUAGUUAAAUAAACUAACAUUUUUUUCAUGAGCCUUCAUCAAUUAAGUAAAAUUUAUACAUGAAAAGUAAAACCAAACGAAAAUAAAAAAUUGAAGCUAUGAAAGUCUCGAGGGAAACUAGGAUUAGAUACCCUAUUAUUCUUGACUAUAAACUACCCAUUACCCGGGAACUACGAAUAAAUAAAAUUUAAAACCCAAAGAACUUGGCGGUGUUCUAGACUACUUAGGGGAACCUGUUCCAUAAUCGACAAUCCACGCUACACCUAACCUUUUUUAGCAGCCAGUCUGUAUACCGUUGUCGCCAGGCGACUUUUAAAAAUAAAGAAGUUGGCAAUAAAAAUUAAAUUAAACGUCAAAUCAAGGUACAGCCAAUAAAAAGGUGUGAAUGGGUUACAAUUAAAAUUUAUAAUAUGAAUUAAAAUCAGAAAUAACUUUAUGAAGGAGGACUUAAAAGUAAAAAGAUAAUUAUAAAAAUCUCUUGAAUACAGCUCUGGAACGUGCACACAUCGCCCGUCGCUCUUAUUGAAAAAUAAGAUAAGUCGUAACACAGUAAGGGUAAUGGAAAUUGCCCUUAGAUGAUA